rnacentral:rRNA from 1 species
GACGAACGCUGGCGGCGUGCUUAACACAUGCAAGUCGUACGGUAAGGCCCUUUCGGGGGUACACGAGUGGCGAACGGGUGAGUAACACGUGAGUAACCUGCCCACAACUUUGGGAUAACGCUAGGAAACUGGUGCUAAUACUGGAUAUGUGCUCCUGCUGCAUGGUGGGGGUUGGAAAGCUCCGGCGGUUGUGGAUGGACUCGCGGCCUAUCAGCUUGUUGGUGGGGUAGUGGCCUACCAAGGCGGCGACGGGUAGCCGGCCUGAGAGGGUGACCGGCCACAUUGGGACGCAGAUACGGCCCAGACUCCUACGGGAGGCAGCAGUGGGGAAUAUUGCACAAUGGGCGCAAGCCUGAUGCAGCAACGCCGCGUGCGGGAUGACGGCCUUCGGGUUGUAAACCGCUUUCAGCAGGGACGAAGCUUUUUGUGACGGUACCUGCAGAAGAAGCACCGGCUAACUACGUG